rnacentral:rRNA from 1 species
GGACUUGGCGGUGUCCCAUUUCGGCCUAGAGGAGCCUGUCCUAUAAUCGACACCCCCCGUUCCACCCAACCUCCACUUGCACAUUCAGCCUAUAUACCGCCGUCGACAGUCUACCCCAUGAGGGCCUUUUAGUAGACACAAUAGCAAUAACUCGCUAGUACGUCAGGUCAAGGUGUAGCAAAUGUUGAGGCAGAGAUUGGCUACAUUUUUUGUUUCAAAACAAACGAAAUGCAACAUGAAACAUUGCACGAAGGUGAAUUUAGCAGUAAAAUGAACAAGAGAAUUCGUUUUAACACCGCUCUGGGACGCGC